GACGAACGCUGGCGGCGUGCCUAGUACAUGCAAGUCGAGCGGAUGAUGGAGGAGCUUGCUCCUCCUGAUUCAGCGGCGGACGGGUGAGUAACACGUGGGCAACCUGCCCUGUAGAUUGGGAUAACUCCGGGAAACCGGGGCUAAUACCGAAUAACCCACCGGACCUCAUGGUCUGGUGUUGAAAGACGGCAUCUCGCUGUCACUACAGGAUGGGCCCGCGGCGCAUUAGCUAGUUGGUGAGGUAACGGCUCACCAAGGCCACGAUGCGUAGCCGACCUGAGAGGGUGAUCGGCCACACUGGGACUGAGACACGGCCCAGACUCCUACGGGAGGCAGCAGUAGGGAAUCUUCCACAAUGGACGAAAGUCUGAUGGAGCAACGCCGCGUGAGUGAAGAAGGUUCUCGGAUCGUAAAACUCUGUUGUGAGGGAAGAACAAGUACCGGAGUAACUGCCGGUACCUUGACGGUACCUCAUUAGAAAGCCACGGCUAACUACGUGCCAGCCGCCGCGGUAAGAC
rnacentral:rRNA from 1 species